rfam:Schistosoma haematobium scaffold410_13, whole genome shotgun sequence.
ACACUGGUGAGGAGUCCCAGAAUAGAACGAAAUGGCCGUCCAGUGC